rnacentral:rRNA from 1 species
CAAUAGCGUAUAUUAAAGUUGUUGCAGUUAAAAAGCUCGUAGUUGGAUUUGUGGCGUACGGUGUGCUCCGGGCACUUGUUGUCUGAGUAACCUGCUGUUGCCAUCCUUGGGUGGAACCUGUGUGGCAUUAGGUUGUCGUGCAGGGGAUGCCCAUCAUUUACUGUGAAAAAAUUAGAGUGUUCAAAGCAGGCUUAUGCCGUUGAAUAUAUUAGCAUGGAAUAAUGAGAUAGGACUUUUUUGCUAUUUUGUUGGUUUGCGCAAAGAGGUAAUGAUUAAUAGGGACAGUUGGGGGUAUUCGUAUUCCAUUGUCAGAGGUGAAAUUCUUGGAUUUUUGGAAGACGAACUACUGCGAAAGCAUUUACCAAGGAUGUUUUCAUUAA